rnacentral:rRNA from 1 species
UGGGGAAUUUUGGACAAUGGGGGAAACCCUGAUCCAGCCAUGCCGCGUGAGUGAAGAAGGCCUUCGGGUUGUAAAGCUCUUUCGGACGGGAAGAAAUCGCCCUGGCUAAUAUCUGGGGUGGAUGACGGUACCGUAAGAAGAAGCACCGGCUAACUACGUGCCAGCAGCCGCGGUAAUACGUAGGGUGCGAGCGUUAAUCGGAAUUACUGGGCGUAAAGCGUGCGCAGGCGGCUCAUUAAGACAGGCGUGAAAUCCCCGGGCUUAACCUGGGAACUGCGCUUGUGACUGGUGGGCUAGAGUGUGUCAGAGGGAGGUGGAAUUCCACGUGUAGCAGUGAAAUGCGUAGAGAUGUGGAGGAACACCGAUGGCGAAGGCAGCCUCCUGGGAUAACACUGACGCUCAUGC